GAGUUUGAUCAUGGCUCAGGAUGAACGCUAGCGGCAGGCUUAACACAUGCAAGUCGAGGGGCAUCGGGAGGGAAGCUUGCUUUCCUUGCCGGCGACCGGCGCACGGGUGAGUAACACGUAUGCAACCUGCCCUCUUCAGGGGGACAACCUUCCGAAAGGGAGGCUAAUCCCGCGUAUAUCGGUUUCGGGCAUCCGAGAUCGAGGAAAGAUUCAUCGGAAGAGGAUGGGCAUGCGGCGCAUUAGCUUGACGGCGGGGUAACGGCCCACCGUGGCGACGAUGCGUAGGGGUUCUGGGAGGAAGGUCCCCCACACUGGUACUGAGACACGGACCAGACUCCUACGGGAGGCAGCAGUGAGGAAUAUUGGUCAAUGGGAGAGAUCCUGAACCAGCCAAGCCGCGUGAGGGAAGACGGCCCUAUGGGUUGUAAACCUCUUUUGUCGGAGAACAAAACCCGGGACGUGUCCCGGACUGCGUGUAUCCGAAGAAAAAGCAUCGGCUAACUCCGUGCCAGCAGCCGCGGUAAUACGGAGGAUGCGAGCGUUAUCCGGAUUUAUUGGGUUUAAAGGGUGCGUAGGCGGUCCGUUAAGUCAGCGGUAAAAUUGCGGGGCUCAACCCCGUCGAGCCGUUGAAACUGGCAGACUUGAGUUGGCGAGAAGUACGCGGAAUGCGCGGUGUAGCGGUGAAAUGCAUAGAUAUCGCGCAGAACUCCGAUUGCGAAGGCAGCGUACCGGCGCCAGACUGACGCUGAGGCACGAAAGCGUGGGGAUCGAACAGGAUUAGAUACCCUGGUAGUCCACGCAGUAAACGAUGAAUGCUGGUUGUCCGGGUCGAAUGAGAUCUGGGCGGCGAAGCGAAAGCGAUAAGCAUUCCACCUGGGGAGUACGCCGGCAACGGUGAAACUCAAAGGAAUUGACGG
rnacentral:rRNA from 1 species